rnacentral:rRNA from 1 species
AUUGAACGCUGGCGGCAUGCUUUACACAUGCAAGUCGAACGGCAGCGCGGGCUUCGGCCUGGCGGCGAGUGGCGAACGGGUGAGUAAUGCAUCGGAACGUGCCCAGUCGUGGGGGAUAGCCCGGCGAAAGCCGGAUUAAUACCGCAUACGACCUGAGGGUGAAAGCGGGGGACCGAAAGGCCUCGCGCUAUUGGAGCGGCCGAUGUCGGAUUAGCUAGUUGGUGGGGUAAAGGCUUACCAAGGCGACGAUGCGUAGCUGGUCUGAGAGGACGACCCGCCACACGGGGAGUGAGGAACGGCCGAGACUCCGGCGGGAGGCAGCGGUGGGGAAUUUUAGGCAAUGGGGGCAACCCUGAUCCAGCCAUGCGGCGUGCGGGAUGAAGGCGUUCGGGUUGGAAAGCGCUUUUGUUCGGGAAGAAAUCCUCUGGGCUAAUACCCCGGGGGAAUGACGGUACCGGAAGAAUAAGCACCGGCUAACUACGUG